rnacentral:rRNA from 1 species
UACGGAGGGGGCUAGCGUUGCUCGGAAUCACUGGGCGUAAAGCGCACGUAGGCGGAUUCUUAAGUCGGUGGUGAAAGCCUGGAGCUCAACUCCAGAACUGCCUUCGAUACUGAGAGUCUUGAGUCCGGGAGAGGUGAGUGAAACUGCGAGUGUAGAGGUGAAAUUCGUAGAUAUUCGCAAGAACACCAGUGGCGAAGGCGGCUCACUGGCCCGGUACUGACGCUGAGGUGCGAAAGCGUGGGGAGCAAACAGGAUUAGAAA